rnacentral:precursor_RNA from 15 species
UUGAACUAGUCACCAUCCAGGGUCCCUUUCAGGUCUGAUAGUCUAUCUUUUCAGUGCUCUUGGAAACCCUGGAAUAUAGUCUAUCAGAUCUGGAAGUGUCUGUUGGCUAUCAACUGUCAGCAG